rnacentral:rRNA from 1 species
CGACCUGAGUCAGGCAAGAUUACCCG